AUUGAACGCUGGCGGCAUGCCUUACACAUGCAAGUCGAACGGCAGCACGGGUGCUUGCACCUGGUGGCGAGUGGCGAACGGGUGAGUAAUACAUCGGAACGUACCUUAUCGUGGGGGAUAACGCAGCGAAAGCUGUGCUAAUACCGCAUACGCCCUGAGGGGGAAAGCGGGGGAUCGCAAGACCUCGCGCGAUUAGAGCGGCCGAUGCCUGAUUAGCUUGUUGGUGGGGUAAAAGCCCACCAAGGCGACGAUCAGUAGCUGGUCUGAGAGGACGAUCAGCCACACUGGGACUGGGAAACGGCCCAGACUCCUACGGGAGGCAGCAGUGGGGAAUUUUGGACAAUGGGGGCAACCCUGAUCCAGCAAUGCCGCGUGAGUGAAGAAGGCCUUCGGGUUGUAAAGCUCUUUUGUCAGGGAAGAAACACCGGCUCUAACACAGUCCGGGAAUGACGGUACCUGAAGAAUAAGCACCGGCUAACUACGUGCCAGCCGCCGCGGUAA
rnacentral:rRNA from 1 species